AGUGAACGCUGGCGGUAGGCCUAACACAUGCAAGUCGAACGGCAGCACAGUAAGAGCUUGCUCUUACGGGUGGCGAGUGGCGGACGGGUGAGGAAUACAUCGGACUCUACUUUUUCGUGGGGGAUAACGUAGGGAAACUUACGCUAAUACCGCAUACGACCUACGGGUGAAAGCAGGGGAUCUUCGGACCUUGCGCGAUUGAAUUAGCCGAUGUCGGAUUAGCUAGUUGGCGGGGUAAAGGCCCACCAAGGCGACGAUCCGUAGCUGGUCUGAGAGGAUGAUCGGCCACACGGGAACUUAGACACGGUCCAGACUCCUACGGGAGGCAGCAGUGGGGAACAGUAGACAAUGGGCGCAAGCCUUAUCCAGCCAUACCGCGUGGGUGGAGAAGGCCUUCGGGUUGUAAAGCCGGUUUGUUGGGAAAGAAAAGCAGCAGGUUAAUACCCCGCUGGUCUGACGGUACCCAAAGAAUAAGCACCGGCUAACUUCGUG
rnacentral:rRNA from 1 species